rnacentral:rRNA from 1 species
UACGGGGGGGGCAAGCGUUGUUCGGAAUUACUGGGCUUAAAGGGUGCGUAGGCGGCGCGGAAAGUUGGGUGUGAAAUCCCUCGGCUUAACCGAGGAAUGGCGCUCAAAACUACCGUGCUUGAGGAAGACAGAGGUGAGCGGAACUUAGGGUGGAGCGGUGAAAUGCGUUGAUAUCCUAAGGAACACCGGUGGCGAAAGCGGCUCACUGGGUCUUUUCUGACGCUAAGGCACGAAAGCCAGGGUAGCGAACGGG